GUUCUUCCUCGAUCACUGAAGAUACUCUUUGAUCUGCUGAGACCACAUCGAGGAUAUACAAUUUAGUUUCAGGAGCUAAAUGUUAAGAUGGACAUUCAUAAACUGGAGAGGGCCAGUGUAGGCAAGAAGGUUGCUGAGGUGUCUGGAAAGCAUUUAUAUACAGAGUGAAAGGAAGUGGAGAGGUUUAACUUAGAAAAUGGAGGUCAGGGUAAUGUCUUUAAAUUGUAAAUAGCUGGCAUGUGGCUAGAUAAAUUCUCUUAUGAGAAUUUAUAAAUAAUCUUUAAUGCACAAAGAUUAAUGAGAGGAAAUUAUGGAGAGGCAGAUCCUAAGACCACAAGUCCACUGGGGAGAAGUGAAUGCCUUGGGAAGCAGAGUUCUAUAUCACUCAUGUGUCUAAGAUAAGAGGAGUAGUUUAUAUUAAUUAGAGCACUUUAGGAAAAAUUACUGAAUUAGGAGGGAUUUAAUCCAUAGUCUAGUAUCUUGAAAAGUAAAAGUUGGAAUGUUAGAGAUUAUUGUCAAAGUUUAGGAGACUAAGGCCCAAAGUGCAGGUUUGACUUGCCCCAGUUCACACUAAUUGCUGUCCAAGUUUCUAAUCACUGUCCCAGUAUACUUCGGGCUUCCCUGGUAGCUCAGAUGGUAAGGAAUCCACCUGCAAUGCAGGAGACCUGGGAUCAAUCUCUGGGUUGGAAACAUCCCCUGGAGAAGGACAUGGCAACCCACUCCAGUAUUCUUGCCUGGGAAACCCCAGGACAGAGGAGCCUGGCGGGCUACAGUCCUUGGGGUCGCAAAGAGUCGGACACAACUGAGCAACUUUGACUUCAGUAUGCUUCUUGUUACAUGCCAUUCUUCCCACUCUCUACUUCUUUAAUGCUGUAUCUCCCCCAGGGGGACCAGGUGAAUGAAUAGGAAAAUGGAAAAAAGUCUGGUGGAACUUGGAGAAUUAAGUAAGUUAACUCUGUCCAAGCUAAACGACUUAUCCUAGGACUAGUCUUUCCCGCCAACCAGGUGAAUCUACACAUUGAAUCGUUCACGCCUACAAACUGGUUUAUCUUUCAGAAUAUACUAACAGAGCUAUUCUCCACUGACACUAUGACUUUAUUUGAUAGCCACUACAACAUGGGGAACCUAAUUGAGAUUGAGAGGGGGGCAACUGACAGAGAAAUCUGAAGUCUCAUUUGUGAAUGAGAGGUGAUAUUGAGAGAGCAAGAGAAUUUUCUAGGAAGCAGUAAUCCACGAGUCCAGGUCUUGGGACAACUUCUUCUUAUCUUGAGAAACAGAGUUUGGUGGCUUGUGCUCAGUGCAAGGAGGGAGAGCAAUAAGACACAAGAAUUGAUGGAGGCUGGAGAUGUGGAGCUUUUUGAGUUGGGAUAAGGAUUUUGGAUUUGAUUCUAAGUGGACUUGGAAAUAGUUAAAACCUUCAGCAGUCACUCUGCCGCCAUCACGGCCACCUCAGCCUCCCCCGGGGCCUGACUUCGGGGCCCAGCAAGCCCUAGACUCUUUGGAGCUUCUUCCUUUGCCUUCUGUCUUUCAGUCUCAUCUAAGAUGAACCCAGAGCUAUAAGC
ensembl:lncRNA